UACGUAGGGUGCAGGCGUUAAUCGGAAUUACUGGGCGUAAAGCGUGCGCAGGCGGUCUUUUAAGUCAGAUGUGAAAUCCCCGGGCUUAACCUGGGAAUGGCCAUGGAAACUGGCGAACUGGAGUGUGGCAGAGGGGGGUGGAAUUCCGCGGUGUAGCAGUGAAAUGCGUAGAGAAUGCGGAGGAACACCGAUGGCGAAGGCAGCCCCCUGGGUCAAAACUGA
rnacentral:rRNA from 1 species